GUAUUUACAAAGUAAUUGCAUUCUUUAUCUCUAAAAUGCUCAUAAGAACUUACAAGUUGCAAUUGCUUUAGGAAGAUUGGUACAUAAGCUCUAAUCAUUGGGGUAAUGAUGCUCAAGUUCAAGAGGCCCUAAACAUUCGGAAGGGUUUUAUUGAAAAAUGGGCGCGAUGUAAACUUUUUGUAUUUCCAUUCUAUAAAAUAAAGGUCACGAAUACCAUACCAUAUCAUGCAAACCUCAGUAGCAAAGGUUACAGAUCUCUUAUAUUCAGUGGAGAUCAUGACAAGCAAGUUCCUUUCCAAUCAACUAUCGCAUGGAUAAAAUCUCUUAACUACUCCGUUGUUGAUGAAUGGCGACCAUGGUUCGUUGAUGAUCAAGUUGCCGGUUAUAUGAGAAGUUACUCAAAUCGGAUGACAUUUGUGACAGUGAAGGCUAGU